UACGAAGGGGGCUAGCGUUGUUCGGAAUCACUGGGCGUAAAGCGCACGUAGGCGGAUGUGCCAGUCAGGGGUGAAAUCCCGGAGCUCAACUUCGGAACUGCCUCUGAUACAGCACGUCUUGAGUCCGGAAGAGGUGGGUGGAAUUCCUAGUGUAGAGGUGAAAUUCGUAGAUAUUGGGAAGAACACCGGUGGCGAAGGCGGCUCUCUGGACCGAGACUGACGCUGAGGCGCGAAAGCGUGGGGAGCAAACAGG
rnacentral:rRNA from 1 species